UACGAGAGGAGCGAGCAUUAUUCGGAAUGAUUUGGCGUAAAGGGUUUGUAGGUUGUUUUUUAAGUUAAAUAGGAAAUAUUAAAGCAUAACUUUAUUAACUAUUUAAAACUAAAAAACUUGAGUAUAAAUAGAAGAUAAUGGAAUUUUUAUUGAAGGGGUAAAAUCCGUAGAUAAUAAAAGGAAGGCCAAUGGUGAAAACAAUUGUCUGGGUAUAUACUGACACUGAGAAACGAAAGCUUGGGGAGCAAACGGG
rnacentral:rRNA from 1 species